GUGCCAGCCGCCGCGGUAAGACGAACCGUGCGAACGUUAUUCGGAAUCACUGGGCUUAAAGCGCGUGUAGGCGGGCUGUCACGUCGGGCGCUGAAAUCCCCCGGCUCAACCGGGGAACGGGCACCGAUACGAGCAGCCUUGAGGGGAGUAGGGGGACCUGGAACUUCCGGUGGAGCGGUGAAAUGCGUUGAGAUCGGAAGGAACGCCCGUGGCGAAAGCGAGGUCCUGGGCUCUUACUGACGCUGAGACGCGAAAGCCAGGGGAGCGAACGGGAUUAGAUACCCCAGUAGUCC
rnacentral:rRNA from 1 species